rnacentral:rRNA from 1 species
UGGGGAAUUUUGCGCAAUGGGCGAAAGCCUGACGCAGCAACGCCGCGUGAGUGAUGAAGGCUUUCGGGUCGUAAAGCUCUGUCAGGGGGAAAGAAGUGUAUUGAGGUUAAUACCCUUGAUACUUGACGGUACCCCCAAAGGAAGCACCGGCUAACUCCGUGCCAGCAGCCGCGGUAAUACGGAGGGUGCGAGCGUUGUUCGGAAUUAUUGGGCGUAAAGCGCGUGUAGGCGGUUUAUUAAGUCUGAUGUGAAAGCCCCGGGCUCAACCUGGGAAGUGCAUUGGAUACUGUUAGACUUGAAUACGGGAGAGGGCAGUGGAAUUCCUGGUGUAGGAGUGAAAUCCGUAGAUAUCAGGAGGAACACCGGUGGCGAAGGCGGCUGCCUGGACCGAUAUUGACGCUGAGACGCGAAAGCGUGGGUAGCAAACAGG